AAAGAAUUAGUUAAAUUAUAACAUUAGAAUGUCAAACUGAAAUUAUUGAUUAAAUUAAUAUUCUUUA
rnacentral:tRNA from 1 species